UACAGAGGGGGCAAGCGUUGUUCGGAAUUACUGGGCGUAAAGGGCGCGUAGGCGGCCUUCUAAGUCGAACGUGAAAUCCCCGGGCUCAACCCGGGAACUGCGUCCGAUACUGGAUGGCUUGAGUUCGGGAGAGGGAUGCGGAAUUCCAGGUGUAGCGGUGAAAUGCGUAGAUAUCUGGAGGAACACCGGUGGCGAAGGCGGCAUCCUGGACCGACACUGACACUGAGGAGCGAAAGCCAGGGGAGCAAACGGG
rnacentral:rRNA from 1 species